rnacentral:tRNA from 1 species
UGGGGUGUGGCUCAGCGGUAGAGCGCUCGCCUAGCAUGAGUGAGGCCCUGGGUUCGAUCCUUGGCACCACAU